rnacentral:lncRNA from 1 species
GGAUUCCCCAAGUGGAUGGCUGUCAAAGAUUUUAAUAUACUGCAGGCACAGCAGCUAAUUCUCAAAUCUCUUGCAGAAGGAUUUUACAGAGGGAAGCUAGGAUGCAAAUCCUUUUGAAGGCUUUUUCCAUUUUGAAACCUAUAAAUAGGAAAGUAGGGCAAAAUGACUUUGACAAGUUUAGACCUCACCUUCUUUAAUUACUCUCUUUGGAUCAACAACCUGACUGCAAAUGCUUAUCUGCUCCAACAUUACGCACAGGUUUGGAGUUUAUUUUUUAAAAGCAGUGCAUGACAGUUCUGCAUAAUAUUUUUAAUACCCUUGGCCACCAGAGAUUUCCAUAUUCCAGUCAAUCUUUAAAUUUAUAAUUGAUAUAAAUGGUGAACUGGGCUGAUUGCCUGUAUUGUCGUUUCAGUGCAAAAAGUCUGUCCAUUUAUUGUUCUUUAUGAAUGUAAAUUUUCAUGCUGCUGCCUUUUUUGCAUUUUCUUCCUCCUUUUUAAUAAAUGUGAAAAUUUAAAUGAUUGUCUUGUUACCAGUCAGUAGCAAUAACAGCUAACAUAAAUCACUAAUAAAAUAAGUCUAAAAUAACUAAAAUAAAUUAGUUAUAAGAAUGUCACUUUAAUAGGUGUUUAAAACAAAAUAUAGCUGGUUCCUCUUAUAUAAUGUAUAAAUGUUGUUUUAAUAAAUUAGAUAUUGCAUAUAUAUAUAAAGUGUAAAGAGGAGCAUAGUUUGUGUUGCUUUGCAGGGAGCACACAUGAAAAAUGACAUAAGUGUAUCAAGUACUGGGUUUGAUAAUGAUACAAGCAUCUGCCAAAAGGCCUGAGUUUUGGACAUAGUGCUUGUCUAUGCUUCUCUGUAGUAUGAAAGGCUGUAAACAUGUUAAUGUGGUAUGGUACUGCUCUGUGCCUCACUUAUCACACCAAUAUCCAGCCUCAGUGGAUGUAGGAGAGACAAUGACUGCAGGGGGGAAGGUUUGAGACGUAUGGAAAUUAGUCUGUGUGGUGGAUCCAUUCAUCCAAAACACCUCUCAAGAUCUGCAGUGCUGGAGGAUUGUUCCAUCUGUCCCACCCAGACAGGGACAAGCUUUAUGAUCAAUACUGAUGUGAUCCUGUUAUGGGCUGGCAACUUCUUCUUCCAGAAAGAAAUUUACCUGAUUAAGCAAGUUUCUAGCUUCACCCAUUUCCCCCAUUUUUUGAGUGAGUUACAUCAAACCCCUGAGCCCAGUGUGUUGAAUCUGCGGCAGCCAGGAACUCUUCUUUGGCUGGGGGACCCUUGAUCUUUCUCCUCAAGGCAGAGACCAUCAGGGUGUUUCUAGUGAUCUGGAAGAAAACAUCUGGGGCUGUUUUACUAAAACAGUGUUGGGAGCCCCUAGCUGGAGUCCUUGGAGCCGUGUGGAAGAGACCUGGCAAAGGCAGAAAAUACCACUCAUGCCCUGAAGAGCCUGGAGUUAAACCCGUGCUGUUGCAAGUAAACAACGCUGACAACAGAACAUGACAAU